GGUGGUUCUGUAUCGAGCGGAUGCCUCCGAAAGGAUAGCGAAAUGGACAGUCGAGCUCACGGAGUUCGACAUCGACUAUCGACCUCGAUCGAUGAUAAAAGCUCAGAUAUUAGCAAACUUCGUGGUGGAAUGCACUAUCCCAGAAGGGGCCGAGCUUGGAUGAGAUGAAGCCGAUAGCCCAGGGCUCCAGUCGAACUCCCCUGAAGAAAGAACAGAUCUCCCUGAUGGUUUAUGGGCCCUCU
rnacentral:lncRNA from 1 species